rnacentral:rRNA from 1 species
GGAGGCUACCGCUAUUGGAAUCCGAUUAAGCCAUGCGAGUCGAGAGGGUUAAGCCCCUCGGCGGACGUCUCAGUAACACGUGGAUAAUCUGCCCUUGAGUGGGGGAUAAACUCGGAAACCUGAGUAUAAUACCCCAUAGGCCUAGGAUGCUGGAAUGCUUCUAGGCUCAAAGCUCCGGCGCUCAAGGAUGAGUCUGCGACCUAUCAGGCAGUAGUGGGUGUAACGGACCCACUAACCUUCGACGGGUACGGGCCUUGAGAGAGGUUGCCCGGAGUUGGACUCUGAGACACGAGUCCAGGCCCCACGGGGUGCAGCAGGCGCGAAAACUUCACAAUGUGGGAAACCGCGAUGAGGGGAUUCCAAGUGCUAACACUUUGUGUUAGCUGUUCACCUGCCUAAAAAGCUGGUGAAGUAAGGGCCGGGUAAGACGGGUGCCAGCCGCCGCGGUAAUACCUGCGGCCCGAGUGGUGGUCGUUAUUAUUGAGCCUAAAGCGUCCGUAGCCGGUUCAGUAAAUCUCUGGGUAAAUCGGGCAGCUCAACUGUCCGAAUUCCGGAAAGACUGCUGAACUUGGGACCGGGGGAGGUUGGAGGUACUCCUGGGGUAGGGGUGAAAUCCUGUAAUCCUAGGGGGACCACCAGUGGCGAAGGCGUCCAACCAAAACGGCUCCGACGGUAAGGGACGAAGCCCUGGGGCGCAAACGGGAUUAGAUACCCCGGUAGUCCAGGGUGUAAACGCUGCAGGCUUGGUGUUGGGGGUCCUGCGAGGGCGCCCAGUGCCGGAGAGAAGUUGUUAAGCCUGCCGCUUGGGGAGUACGUCCGCAAGGAUGAAACUUAA